rnacentral:rRNA from 1 species
UACGUAGGGUGCAAGCGUUGUCCGGAAUUAUUGGGCGUAAAGAGCUCGUAGGCGGUCUGUCGCGUCUGGUGUGAAAAUCCAGGGCUUAACCCUGGACCUGCAUCGGGUACGGGCAGACUAGAGUGCGGUAGGGGAGAUCGGAAUUCCUGGUGUGGCGGUGAAAUGCGCAGAUAUCAGGAGGAACACCGGUGGCGAAGGCGGAUCUCUGGGCCGUAACUGACGCUGAGGAGUGAAAGCAUGGGGAGCGAACAGG